GCUGCUAUUUGUCCUGCUGGUUGAGCGGAGCCCACCAACCCUUCCAUUAUUCUCUCUCCUCAUCUUGCGCAUUCCCAUUCCCAUACGGAGGUCUGAGGAUAUGGAAGACCAAGCUGUCACCUUUCGGCCGUUUCUUGGAGCAAUUCCCCGCAGGAUACGGUGGGCGGCCCCGCCCAUGCCUUCUAAUCGUUGCUGGACCCGAGCCGCUUCUGUCUCCACGGUGUGAACGAGAUUUUGAUAUCUAAGAACAAGCCAAAAGUCGUAUUUUUUGCCGGAUUAGAAGGCCCACGGGUUAGUUUCUAUCGCUUUUCUAACCAGAUUUGAUCUUGUUAUCCGACAAAAUGGGUAAAAAUGCUGUUUUUUUAAUGUAAGCCAGAAAGAUUUCCAGCGGAAUCUAGUUGAAAUCUUGAAUUCUAUUUUUUUUUUAAAGCGGUCAUGAUGACAUCGGUAGAAACAUGCUGU
rnacentral:lncRNA from 1 species